rnacentral:rRNA from 1 species
GGUGGCUGCAUGGCUGUCGUCAGCUCGUGCCGUGAGUGUUGGGUUAAGUCCCGCAACGAGCGCAACCCCUAUGUCUAGUUGCCAGCAUGUAAUGGUGGGGACGUCUAGACAGACUGCCUGUGCAAACAGAGAGGAAGGAGGGGACGGACGUCAAGUCAUCAUGGCCCUUACGUCCGGGGCGUACACACGUGCUACAAUGGACGGUACAGAGGGCAGCUAGGCAGCAAUGCCAUGCCAAUCUCAAAAAGCCGUUCACAGUUCGGAUCGGGGUCUGCAACUCGACCCCGUGAAGUUGGAUUCGCUAGUAAUCGCGUAUCAGCAAUGACGCGGUGAAUACGUUCCCGGGCCUU